UUCAGCAAAAAUGGACACGUUUAGUACCACGUCCGCCCUCGACGAGCCCGCGAACGUAUACAGUUGGAAAUGGUCAGCAAACGGGCUCUGAUCGGCGCUCAUCGACUGUCGCCGAGGUUUUUGUACGGCCCGCUUCAUCGCUUUGCAUCACUGUGGUGGAGUUUCAGUAAUGGAACCAAAGUCGUCCUUGGCUCGGGUGAGGUGCGUCGCCCCACCAUGAUCGUCUUCCCCCCUUCCAAAGAGCAGCUGGAGACUAGCAACGUCACGGCCGUAUGCGUGGCCAAAGGGGGCUUCCCCUCAACUUGGACCUUGAGCUGGAAGUUGGGGGGGACCCCCAAUACCUCGGGGGUGUUCAACAGCCCCCCGGGAGAGCCAGUCGGGGACAGCCUUUUCAGCUGGACCAGCACCCUGAGCCUCCCGGUAGACCAGUGGACCAAGGCCCAAUCGGUGAGCUGCGUGGCCACCCUCGCCGGGCAGGACCCCGUCACGCAAACCCUGCCGGACCCGGGACGAUGCUCUCAGUAGAGCCCGAGCCCAAGCCUGAAAUCAUCAUGUCCUUGCAACGUUGAAGCAUUGUGAAAUAAAAUGUCUGAGUAUCACCAUC